rnacentral:rRNA from 1 species
AGAGUUUGAUCAUGGCUCAGAACGAACGCUGGCGGCAUGCCUAACACAUGCAAGUCGAACGAGCACUUCGGUGCGAGUGGCGAACGGGUGAGUAACGCGUGGGAAUCUGCCUCAAAGUGGGGAAUAACCAACGGAAACGGUGGCUAAUACCCCAUACCCCCUGCGGGGGAAAGUUUUUCGCUUUGAGAUGAGCCCGCGUCGGAUUAGGUUGUUGGUGAGGUAAAAGCUCACCAAGCCUGUGAUCCGUAGCUGGUCUGAGAGGAUGAACAGCCACACUGGGACUGAGACACGGCCCAGACUCCUACGGGAGGCAGCAGUGGGGAAUAUUGGACAAUGGGGGAAACCCUGAUCCAGCAAUGCCGCGUGAGUGAUGAAGGCCUUAGGGUUGUAAAACUCUUUCGGCGGGGAAGA